GUUCCUGGCCUCGGCAUCCUGCUGCACCCAGAACAGAGCCCCUCCUUAGUGCACGCCCUGCAGAAUACCUGCCAAGCUUGCUAUACCCAGCCUGUCCCAGGCCUCACCCCCAUUUAGACCAAUACAGCCAGCAGGUAGGGAGCUAUAAAGGAGUCAGGAGUAUUGAUUGCGCACCUUAUCCAAGCCAGGCUCCUUAAUCUCACAGCUGGCCCAGCCUCUAGCUGCUGACUCAGUCUCCGGCACAAUCCUCCACACCUGUAUCAGCCCUGAGAAGUUUCGGAAACUCCAGCACCAGCUCUGGCGAAAAGAUCUCCAUGGUCCAAGGGCAGGGCCAGUGUUUUCCAACGCACCUUCUCAUUUGUUUCUCACACCCUCAGCUAUUGCCCCCAUUGACAAACAAGGAAACAACCUGCCACUCGUUCAACAGGUCUUAGGAGCACAGUGAGAGGCUGUGUGUGGAGAAUAAAAACAGGUGCUCUCCCGCUGGGAAAGAGCUGGGGGGGGGCAAGGACAGUUGACUUCAACGUCCUCACUUACCAACUCUGUGUCCUGGGCGACCUCCUGGACCUCUCUGAGGUCAUUUCCUCUCUGGCAGGACAGGCCUGAUAGUCACACCGCAGCGGGCCAUGGUCAGGAUUCAGUGAGCUCACCAGGCCUGGCUCUGGCUGGAGCUCCAGAGCAGUGGCUUCUGUGACAAAGAACAAAGCCCCCGCGCAGCAGGGGUAAGGGGAGGUGGGAAAGACAGGAGUGGGAAGCAGGGAGAAGGGGGUCUUGAGCGCUGAGGGGUCGUGCUGGGAGCGGGCUCUGGCAAUGCGGGCACAAGGGCCGGGGUGGGGUCAGGCUACCCGGACGC
rnacentral:lncRNA from 1 species